rnacentral:rRNA from 1 species
UGGCGGCCCCGGGUCAAUCCCGAGGCCACGCCCGUCUGAGGGUCGGCU